AUGAACGCUGGCGGCGUGCCUAAUACAUGCAAGUCGAGCGAACAGACGAGGAGCUUGCUCCUCUGACGUUAGCGGCGGACGGGUGAGUAACACGUGGAUAACCUACCUAUAAGACUGGGAUAACUUCGGGAAACCGGAGCUAAUACCGGAUAAUAUAUUGAACCGCAUGGUUCAAUAGUGAAAGACGGUUUUGCUGUCACUUAUAGAUGGAUCCGCGCCGCAUUAGCUAGUUGGUAAGGUAACGGCUUAACAAGGCGACGAUGCGUAGCCGACCUGAGAGGGUGAUCGGCCACACUGGAACUGAGACACGGUCCAGACUCCUACGGGAGGCAGCAGUAGGGAAUCUUCCGCAAUGGGCGAAAGCCUGACGGAGCAACGCCGCGUGAGUGAUGAAGGUCUUCGGAUCGUAAAACUCUGUUAUUAGGGAAGAACAAAUGUGUAAGUAACUAUGCACGUCUUGACGGUACCUAAUCAGAAAGCCACGGCUAACUACGUG
rnacentral:rRNA from 1 species